AGAUUGAACGCUGGCGGCAUGCCUUACACAUGCAAGUCGAACGGCAGCACGGGGGCAACCCUGGUGGCGAGUGGCGAACGGGUGAGUAAUAUAUCGGAACGUGCCCUGGAGUGGGGGAUAGCUCGGCGAAAGCCGGAUUAAUACCGCAUACGAUCUACGGAUGAAAGUGGGGGAUCGCAAGACCUCGUGCUCCUGGAGCGGCCGAUAUCUGAUUAGCUAGUUGGUGGGUAAAGGCCUACCAAGGCAUCGAUCAGUAGCUGGUCUGAGAGGACGACCAGCCACACUGGAACUGAGACACGGUCCAGACUCCUACGGGAGGCAGCAGUGGGGAAUUUUGGACAAUGGGCGAAAGCCUGAUCCAGCAAUGCCGCGUGUGUGAAGAAGGCCUUGGUUGUAAAGCACUUUUUGGCGGUAACGAAACGGUCGGUCUAAGUACCCUGGCUAAGUGACGGUACCGCAGAAUAAGCACCGCUAACGUACGUGCCAGCAGCCG
rnacentral:rRNA from 1 species